AUACGGAGGGUGCAAGCGUUACUCGGAAUCACUGGGCGUAAAGCGCGCGCAGGCGGCCAUUUAAGUUGGAUGUGCAAGCCUACGGCUCAACCGUAGAACUGCAUCCAAAACUAUUUGGCUAGAGUGUGGGAGAGGAAGAUGGAAUUAGUUGUGUAGGAGUAAAAUCCGUAGAGAUAACUAGGAAUACCAAAAGCGAAGGCAAUCUUCUGGAACACUACUGACGCUGAGGCGCGAAAGCGUGGGUAGCAAACAGGAUUAGAAACCCUAGUAGUCC
rnacentral:rRNA from 1 species